rnacentral:tRNA from 1 species
AGGGGUAUAGCUCAGUUUGGCUAGAGCGCUUGGUUUGGGACCAAGAAGUCGCAGGUUCGAGUCCUGUUGCCCCUA